rnacentral:rRNA from 1 species
UACGUAGGGUGCAAGCGUUAAUCGGAAUUACUGGGCGUAAAGCGUGCGCAGGCGGUUUUGUAAGUCUGACGUGAAAUCCCCGGGCUUAACCUGGGAAUGGCGAUGGUGACUGCAAGGCUAGAGUUUGGCAGAGGGGGGUAGAAUUCCACGUGUAGCAGUGAAAUGCGUAGAGAUGUGGAGGAACACCGAUGGCGAAGGCAGCCCCCUGGGUCAAGACUGACGCUCAUGCACGAAAGCGUGGGGAGCAAACAGG